CCGCGGGGCGGGGCGGGGCGGCCGCCAUCUUGGCGCGCUAAAGCGGCCUGGGCGUGGCCGGGCUCCGAGGUCCCCAGUCUCGGGGUCGGGGUUUGGCCAUGGAGGAGAGCGAGGGUUUCUGGCAGUCCAAUCCUUUUAUCAGACUCACCGGGCUCGGCUGGAAUUUGCAGUAUUCCUGCUUCAGCCUUCCGGAGUGCUGAGAUUAUGCCUCGCUACCAUCUUUUUUAAAAAAUAAUUUUUAUGUAAUAACUGUAGUUCAUGCUAUGACGUAAAAUGCUCUUAGAAAAUUCGAAUUAUAAAACUAUAAGGAAGAAAAAUGCCCAUACAGCAUAAAUAAAUGAAAAUAGGCCGGCUGUGGUGCCCCACCGCCUGUAAUCCCAGCACCUGGGAAGCUCAGGCAGGGGGAUGACAAAUUGAAGCCCAGCCUGGGCAAUUUAGUAAUUUAGAGAGAUCUGUCUCAAAAUUUAAAAAUACUUUAAAAGGACUGGGGGUGUGAAGACUUUGGAUUCUAGCCUCCGUACCAAAAGAAAAAAAAAAAGAAGGAAACGUGUCCAACCAUCCUAAUGAUAACCAUAUAAUAGAAGAGGAAAACAUCCAUGAAAAUGUGCAAAGAAAAUUUCCUAAACCUGAAGGACAGUUUACGGAUGGAAAGUGCUUGCCCAGUGAAUGGAACUAGAACCCAGGACAAUGCAAACAGGUAAGAUCCUACCAGCUUCUAAGGAGAAAACGCAAAUCUUCAGGAAACAGGAAGUACAAACAUCCCCGCUCUGGGCUCUGCUUACACUGGUAGGCAGUACCUUUAAUGUUCUGAAGGAAAGUGAUGUUCAGGCUAGAAUGCUACACAUAGCCAAACCGUUCAUCAAGUAGGCGGGUAAAAUAAGAACAUUUUCAGACAAACAAGUUCUCAAAAGUUUUACCUCCCACAUACCAUAUCCCAGAAAGCUUUUGGGACAUAUGUUCCUCCCGCAAGAGGAAAUAAACCCAAAGAAGCUAGGAGAGGCGAAAACUGGAGAUCCUGCAGAACACAAGAGAGAAAGAGGCCCCACUCAUGGUGACUGUUGGGUGGGACCACACUGCAGGAGGGCAGCUUGGCAGCCUCAGCCACACAGGCCACUUCCUUCAAGAUGGACAGCUGCGAAUGAGGAAAGACGUACCAGCACUUUGACCCGUUCUGCUCUGGUGACCCGAGGUACACUGAUAAAUACUGUGAAGAAUAAUCUUGCAAGCAAAGAGCAGCCCUCAGCAUACACCAGUUUUACCCACGCCUUGAUCUUGGACUUCCCAGCCUCCAAGGUCAUCAUUUGAGACACAUCUCCGCUAGCAAGAGGGAUGCUGAAGGCAAAACAGAAGGGCUUGUUGCUCAUAAAAUUAUUUUCCUAUCACUCUCUUCUCAUAGUGCUUGUGGCUUUUUGAAAGUAUUUUUUCACCAGGCUUGGUGGCACAUGCCUAUAAGCCCAGCACUUGGGAGGCUGAGGCAGAAGGAUAGCUGUGAAUUUGAAGCCAGCCCGAACUACAUAGUAAGACCCUGUCUCAAAAAAAAAAAAAAAAGUUUUACACUUCUGUCUCAUUUCUCUAACUAUAGGCAACAGUGUCUUCCUAGAGAUGGCCCAUGAACUAGGACUGAGUUGAAUGUUGUCGUGAGCCUAGACUAAAUUUUUGUUUGUUUUGGCAGUAGUGGGGAUUGACCCCAAGGCCUUUGCACUGAGCUACAUCCCCAGCCCUUUUUAUUUUGAGACAGUCUCACCAAGUUACCCAGGCUGGGCUCCAAAUUGGGAUCCUCCUGCUUCAGCCACCCAAAGUGCUGGGAUUACAGGUACAAGCCACAGUGCCUGGCUUAGCCUAGACUAAUUUAUCAGCUACACUGUAGCUUUGACCUAGUUAAAUACUUCUUCUUUCUUCUUCUUCUUCUUCUUCUUCUUCUUCUUCUUCUUCUUCUUCUUCUUAUUAUUAUUAUUAUUAUUAUUAUUAUUAUUUUGCAGUACUGGGGAUUGAACUCAGGACCUUGCACUUUCAAGGCAGCCACAGUGCCACUGAGCUAAAUCCCCAGUCCAACUCUAUUAUCUUUUUUCCCCCUUGUAGUGAGGAUGGGCUAGCGCCUCACACAUGUAAAGUGUAAAUUUUGUGUGUAGUCGUGUGACUGGCUUGUUAAAAUGCCUUAUGGCCUCAACAGCACUUAUAGACAAAGGAAGGAGUAGCUGAGGAGGAAAUAUGUGUACAUGCCUGUCUCUCAGUGCCACAACCCUUCUGGUCUUAUAGGAGUACAAAUACACAGGUCUGCCAAUUUCCCACCAGUAAGAAAUCUUUACAAGCCUGAGAAUAAAUUCAGCUGAUCUCAGUGGACCCUGUUAACUCAUUGCCAAGUUGAUUCUGCAUCUUCUGGAAAAUUUUUCACUGAAGACUCUGGCCUUUAAAAUCUUUAAGUUAUUUUCCCAAAUACACCAUAAAGACUCUUCCAUUUUGCUGCUUUUAAGGGGAUAGCUUGAGGGCCAGAGAUUUAGCUCAGUGGUUCAGCCACCUGCCUCACAAGCGCAAGGUCCUGAGUUCAAUCCCCUGUACCAAAAAAAAAAAAGAUUACAUUAAGGGGAUAGCUUGAAAAACAAUGAUAAUUCAGCAGCCUGUGUUCUGCAGUGCUCAAGGAUGGCAUCCCAUAUACACUGAAAGGAAAAAAUAGCUUACAAAAACAGAAAGUGAGCUUUUUAAUGUCAACCAUAAAUGUAGCAAAAAUAAAGGAAACUAAAGGCUUGUGAGAAUUCUAUGAAAAAUAUCACUUUAAUAAUAAUAAAGCUAGCCAAAAGUUAAAACCCUGAAAUACCUAUUAAAUAUGAUCUUGUCCUGAAACACAAUGGGUAGUAAAUAUAUUACUAAACACCAAAAGGAAUGGUUAUUUUUAUAGAGUAGACAUUUAAAGAAAAUUAUGAAAUUAAGUCAUCAUUAUGAUAGUAGAAACAUCUGUGAUUAAUUGAAUAAAGAUUUUUUAUGAAGGAUUUCAAAAUGAUUUUUUAUUUUAUUUUGUAGUACUAAGAAUUUGGGGGUGGGGGGCAGUUCUGAGGAUUGAAUCCAGAGCCUUUGUACCAAGCGGUGUCCCCAGCAUUUUAUUUUUUAUUUUGAGACAAGUCCUCGCUAAGUCACUUCGUUGUCUAGGCCAUCCUGCCCCAGACUUCCACAAUGCUGGGAUUACAGGCAUGCACUACCAUGUCAGGCUUCAAAAAAUGAUUUUUAAAAAAAUGAUUAUUACUGUAAAUCCAUUUGGGGGUCAAAGAUUUCACCAUUUUUUAUAUCCUUGCUUUCUGCUGUCAAUUUCUUAGGGGACAAUUAUCAAUGAAAUUCUGUCACCUGUACCAAAUUCCUAGACCUUCUCAUUGAUAGGCCGAAGUAAUAAGACAUGAAAUAUUUUGUCUGAAACUAGAAGGAAGUGAGGUAUCUCCAUAUCAUGGCAAAUCUUUAAUAGAAACGUAGAUCCAAGUAGCAAUGUAAAAACUAUUAAAAAAAAAAAAGCUGGGUCUGGUGGUGCACAUUCAUACAUCCCAGCAUCCUGGGAGGCUGAGGCAGGAGGAUUGCAGAUUCAA